rnacentral:rRNA from 1 species
CAGCCGCCGCGGUAAUACGAAGGGGGCUAGCGUUGCUCGGAAUGACUGGGCGUAAAGGGCGCGUAGGCGGCGAUCAAAGUCAGGCGUGAAAUUCCUGGGCUCAACCUGGGGGCUGCGUUUGAUACUUGAUUGCUAGAGUGGGGAAGAGGGUCGUGGAAUUCCCAGUGUAGAGGUGAAAUUCGUAGAUAUUGGGAAGAACACCGGUGGCGAAGGCGGCGACCUGGUCCUUGACUGACGCUGAGGCGCGAAAGCGUGGGGAGCAAACAGGAUUAGAUACCCCAGUAGUCCCUGUCUCUUAUAC